rnacentral:rRNA from 1 species
AUUGAACGCUGGCGGCAUGCUUUACACAUGCAAGUCGAACGGCAGCGCGGGCUUCGGCCUGGCGGCGAGUGGCGAACGGGUGAGUAAUACAUCGGAACGUGCCCAGUAUUGGGGGAUAGCUCGGCGAAAGCCGGAUUAAUACCGCAUACGACCUGAUGCUGAAAGCUGGGGAUCUUCGGACCUCGCGCUCUUUGAGCGGCCGAUGGCAGAUUAGCUAGUUGGUUGGGUAAAGGCCUACCAAGGAGACGAUCUGUAGCUGGUCUGAGAGGACGACCAGCCACACUGGGACUGAGACACGGCCCAGACUCCUACGGGAGGCAGCAGUGGGGAAUUUUGGACAAUGGGCGAGAGCCUGAUCCAGCAAUGCCGCGUGUGUGAUGAAGGCCUUCGGGUUGUAAAGCACUUUUGGCGGGAACGAAAAGGACUGUGCCAAUACCACGGUUCGAUGACGGUACCCGCAGAAUAAGCACCGGCUAACUACGUG